rnacentral:rRNA from 1 species
UUAUCAGCCGAGGGUUAGCCGGUCCUAAGGUCAUUCUUAACCGAAAUGAUCGAAAGGGAAUUGCGUUAAUAUUCGUAAGCCCCUCUACAAUUAAUGGUAACGGCUUGGGCUAGUUUAUGCGCAUCUGUCAUGGUGCGUCGAAGCGUUCAAUAAUCGAAUGGAGAACCGUAAUGGUGAGAAGUUCGAGAAGGCGUGAGCAAAGAUAGAUGAGGCCUAGGUCCCAUGAAAAGCCGUAGAGGUGAUCGUACCAAGAUCUGACACAGGUACCCAAGGUGAGAAGCCUAAGGUGUGACGGGCAAAGUACCGCGAAGGAACUCGGCAAAAUCGCUCUGUAACUUCGGGAGAAGGAGUGCCAGGUUCGAGAGAACCUGGUCGCAGUAACAAGGGGACUCCGACUGUUUAAUAAAAACAUAGCCGACUGCUAGAUCGAAAGGUUGUGUAUAGUCGGUGAAUCCUGCUCAGUGCCGGUAUCUGAAAUCGGGUUUCAACCUGAUGAAGGACCGGUAAACAGCGGGGGUAACUAUGACCCUCUUAAGGUAGCGUAAUACCUUGUCGCUUAAUUGGCGACUUGCAUGAAUGGCCCAACGAGAGUCCUACUGUCUCCGCGGUACGUCCGGCGAAAUUGACAUUACUGGCGCACAGUCCAGUAACCUCAACCUGCAAGCGAAGACCCCAUAGAGCUUUACUGCAGCCUGGCGUUGUACAGUCGCACACUAUGUGCUGAGUAGACGGGAGAUGUUGAUCAUUUGGACGCCAGUCCAGAUGGGAGUCGUCCAUAGAGACACCGUCCUUAGUUUGUAACUGUACUAACUCUUAAUGAGAACACCGUUUGGUGGGCAGUUUGGGUGGGGCGCCACGCGCCCGAAAAUAUAACAGGCGUGCCCAAAGGUCAGCUUAGGUGGUUCAGUCUCCACCGUUAACCGUAAGGGGAAAAGCUGGCUUGACGUGGAUCGGACCAAUAACGAUCGACGAUGCGAAAGCAGGGCCUAACGAACCAAUCUACCUCAUUUAUGGGGGUGAUUGAUAACAGAAAAGUUACCUUGGGGAUAAUUGAGUUGUCACCAGCAAGAGCACAUAUCGACCUGGUGGCUUGCUACUUCGAUGUCGUCUCUUCCCAACCUCCUGGUGCAGCAGCUGGGAAGGGUGGGGUUGUUCGCCCAUUAAAGGGGAUCGUGAGAUGGGUUUAGACCGUCGUGAGACAGGUUUGUUGCUUUGUGGUUGAGGCGUAUCAGGUGCCUGAUCGGAAGGGCCCUUUAGUACGAGAGGAACGAGGGCUCGGAGCCACUAGUUUACCAGUUGUCUGGCAAGGCAAUGCUGGGUAGCCACGCUCCAGUGGAUAAGAGCUGAAAGCAUCUAAGCUCGAAGUCAUCCGAAAGACGAGGCAUCUCAGGGGACUCAUAGAAGAUGAGUUUGAUAGACAGCGGGUGUAAGUACCGAGGGUUCGCCCGAGGUAUUCAGCCCAGCUGCACUAACCCCCCGAGCAUUCAUC